rnacentral:rRNA from 1 species
GACGAACGCUGGCGGCGUGCUUAACACAUGCAAGUCGAACGGAAAGGCCUGCUUUCCCUUGUGGAUUGCGGGUACUCGAGUGGCGAACGGGUGAGUAACACGUGAGUGAUCUGCCCCCAACUUGGGUAUAAGCCUGGGAGACUGGGUCUAAUUCCCGAUAGGACUGCAGGGUGGUGCCUGUGGUGGAAAACGAUUUUCUAGUGGUUGGGGAUGAGCUCGCGGCCUAUCAGCUUGUUGGUGGGGUAAUGGCCUACCAAGGCGGCGACGGGUAGCCGGCCUGAGAGGGUGGACGGGCACAUUGGGACUGAGAUACGGCCCAGACUCCUACGGGAGGCAGCAGUGGGGAAUAUUACACAAUGGGCGGAAGCCUGAUGCAGCGACGCCGCGUGGGGGAUGACGGCCUUCGGGUUGUAAACUCCUUUCGACCGCGAGGAAGCCACCUGGUUGGAAGGGUGGUGACGGUAGUGGUAGAAGAAGCACCGGCUAACUACGUG